AUCGUAGGUUCCGAGCGUUAUCCGGAUUUACUGGGCGUAAAGCGCGUUCAGGCGGUUUGGCAAGUCGGGCAUGAAAUCUCUCGGCUCAACCGGGAGAGGUUGUCCGAUACUUCCAGACUUGAGGGCAGUAGAGGGUGGUGGAAUUCCGGGUGUAGUGGUGAAAUGCGUAGAUAUCCGGAGGAACACCAGUGGCGAAGGCGACUUUCUGGCCUGUUCUUGACGCUGAGGCGCGAAAGCUAGGGGAGCAAACGGG
rnacentral:rRNA from 1 species